CGCACCAGGAAUGACAGCGGAUGA
rnacentral:siRNA from 1 species